rnacentral:lncRNA from 1 species
UUUCAUUCAAUCUUCUCCUCUCUCAAUUCUGGAGCUUCCUGAUCUGAAAGGGAACUCAUUUUUAGUAGAAAAGAUUGCUAGGACCCUUUGUAAGUGUCUUAGCCCCCUCUUUAGUUCAGUUUUAUAAUUUAAAAACCGAAAAGUCAAGUUAUCGUAAAUUAGCUUUGACCUUCGGUUUAAACUCAAAUGGUCCAGCCACUGUUCGAGAUGAAUGUGGUUAUGUGACCAUAGUUAGGUAGGUGAUUAACCCUUAAAAGGGCACCUCCUAAUUAUUUCGUUUGCUUAGUUAAUUGUUGGGUCAAACUAUUUAGUUAAAAAGUCAAACUUGGCAGAAUUGUAAAUAAUAAUUAAAACCAAUAAUGCAGAGGCUAUAAAUUAUAAUUUAACACUCUAAUAACUUGGUAAUUAUUAUUAGAACAUGUCUAAGCAUGUUCAACCCGACAACUCUGAGUUUAGGGUCGGUUCGCAACCGAAAGUCGUAAAAGCUUGACUUUUGCUUUGACUUUCAGUUCUGACCCAAUUAAGCUUAAAUCCUUUAUGUUUUAAGCUUCCAUUAGGAUCGUAUUAUGUUGUAGUAUAACCCUCUGAGGUUUUACAUGGUCAUUAGUAUUUUGAAUUAUAUGCUCAUGUCCGUUAUUAUGCUUAUAAAUGCCCGUUAUGCCCUUAUGACAUAUAAACGAGAAUUUUGAAAAUGUGAGAGGAAAAAAAACCUUUAUUACUGAUAUAUAAGUAUGUCCCGAAAAUUUGACAUUAGUUUCUGGUCUCAAACUAAAGUUAUGCUCAAUAUCGUAAUUUGAAACUUUUUAUUAAUUAAAUUACGCUAUCUUGCAUAAAGCAUGUUUAAACACGGAUUUUGACCCAGAACUAAUUACCUACUAUUAAGAUAUUAUUUUUAGGGAUUUUUGGAAUUUUUUAUCAGAUUAUAACCUGACCAUGUCAUGGAGUUCUUGUGUAAUUCGGUAAAUGACGAUAAUACCCUUUUUUAUGUAUAAAAUGAGAUUAACAUAUGAUUUGAAUGCCAAACCUUUUCCUACUGAUAUUAUACAUUAAAUAAAAUAUUUUGAGCAUUUAAAACUGAUCAAAAUCUCAGAUUUCCAUAAACAUCUUAAUUAUCGUCAAUUAGCGACUUUUACGCUAAUUAGGUGCAUAGUAUGGUUUAAAACCAUAUUUAACACCUAAGACUUGUUACCUACUGAAUUUUUAAAUAAAUUUUAAUAUUAUUACAGUAGGUAUAAGUCAUGAACACAGAUUCUAAAAAUGUCCUUAAAAGCAUAUGUGAAAUGACCAAAUUACCCUUUCGGGGCAUAGUUUGGCCAUAAAUGGUAAACCUCACAUAUGUAUGAUAUCUUACUGAUGUAAUGUGAUAAAAUAAAUAUUUUUACUGAUUACCAAAGACCAGAACCUCAGUUUAUUAUAAAAUCUCUUUUAUAAUCAUUAAAAUGACCAAAAUGCCCCUACGGGACUUAAAUUGGUUUUAAAUACUUUUUGGGCAUAUAUGUUAACAUCUUACUGAUGUAUUAACAUAUCCUAAGCAUAAUAACAUUUGAUACCUGUAUAUAAUUCAUUUGGUUACCCGUUAUGCAAUUAUGCGUUCGGAUCGAUUUAUGUAACUAGUUUACAUAAAAAAAGCUGAAACGGGUUUAACCUUAUCAUUAAAUCUUCAAAUUCCAGAAUGUGUUUAGUUUACCCACAUUAUACAAGUCUUCGUACUUGUUGGGUCUAAAUUACAUUCUAUUCCGGUCAUCGCUUAAUCUAGCGUAUCGUAUCGUUUUAGAUACUUCAUGCUAGCCGGUCUAAGUCUACGACUUAAAUAAGACCGUUAGCAUUCUGAAUUGGUUAUAUAUUACCAUCACUCCAGACUAGAGCCACCCGGUAAAAGCUACCUGCAUUUAGUUAGAAUGGAUACGACUGAGUUAUUUUGUUGUGAAUCAAGUAUUAGCUCAGGUAAAUACUUUUAACUUAUUUUCCCUUAUACGGGUUUGGGAUAUGGUAUUAUAAUAAUACCACUUGGUCGGGUAUGAAAUCAUUUAAUCGGAUUAUGAUUAGUAAAUUUACAUAACCCGUUUUAAUCUGUCUUGUUUGAUAACAUAAGCAUUGGGGGUUAAUACGACCGUGUACUGGAUAUCCUCGGCUCAUUUCAUUUGAAAAUGGCCAUGACCUAUGCACGGGGUGUAGGCAUACACCUGACAGAUGCAAAUGCUAAUAUAACCCACAUGUUGGGAAUAACUCCUUUGUGAGUUCUAUAAGUGGUGAGUCAGUUAAUCAUGACCGGCUUCCAAACCAGCCCCAUAUGUAUGACAAACAUGUAAAACUGUAUACAAGAUUAUCUUAAAUAAUUGUCCCAAGUAUAAAUGUUUGUGCCUUGUGCACUUAAAUCAAUUUUCAUAAACUCUUUUCAAAUGAGUCGGUUAAUUGUAUUUACCAGUGAAAACUGACGUAUUUUCCAAAGACUAAGUGGUAGGUACUACUCGUAAUAGGCUGGGAGAUUGCUCGGUGUCGAAAUAGAGGAUCUUGCAAAUCCUUGAAGAUGCCUUAAAGUAUGCUAAACUUCAUUUUAUACAUUCUGUAAAGAUCCACCUGUGGAUUUGAUAUUACAGGCUCGUCUAUAAUAAAUACUUUGAUAUUUUUAGACAUUUGAGUUUGUAAUAAUAUUUUAUAUUCUAAGACUUCCGAUGUGCUAUUCUGUGUAUGUUUGACCAUGAUGAUAUCAACUACGUCACGAUACUCCCCACCGGGCCCACCGGUAAUAUGUGGAAAUAUCGGGGUGUGACAGAUUGGUAAUCUUUUAAAGCUUGUUUCAUGACCGCAACAUCACCACACCCGCUACCACGUACACGAUCCUACAUAUUAUAACAAAUAUAAACUUAAAAGAUAUAAACAAAAAUAAUGUUAUAGAAAAUAUAAAGUUAAAGGUAUAUACAAAUCUAUAAUGUUAAAAAAAUUAAAAUUAUACCGCUUUUGCUAAAGGCCGUUGAAGUAGUUCAACUUAGUCAACAUAGGUCCCCAUUUUGAACAUAGUUGAUGAACAGUCCAGGGUCCAUUGGUGGCAAAUAUGUCAAUAGUUGGGACUGCCAGUGGUUAUUUCUGAAGUUAGUACUGUUAGCGGCCAAUGACAAUAGUUAGGAUUAUUAAAAUCUAAUAUUUCAUUUUUUUUAUAAUUGUUUAAACUGAAUGGCACAAAUGGAACAAUUACACAAAUUUGGUUUUUAUUUACUGAAUGCUUUUGGGGUUAUAUAAUCGAAAGGAAUAAUCAUUAAAUAUUAACAGUUUUAUUACAUCCAGUCCAGAUAAUUCAUUUGAUUUUAACAUUUAUAACAAAAGUUCAGCAAAAGAACAAUAUUGGAAGUUUGGAACUUGAGUGAUUUUAUACUGUAACCAUCUUUCAUAUAUAUCAAUGUUACAUAUAUAUUUCACAGUAAUUCAUCUUUUGGAUUAAUUUUAAAUAAUUUCACGGGCAUGGUACUAUGUGACGCCUGAUUCCCCGAACUUGUGGUUUCUUAUCAAAUCCGAGGGUGUUUUGAAGGUCUUAUCAAAUCCGACGGUGUUUUGAGGCUUCUCAUCGCAAAUGCACAUCAACAACCGGGGCAUCUACUUUUAAAUAUUAAAACAUACAACCGUACAACAACCUAAACUACCUCCAAACAAUAACCAAAACUGUCUGGUCUGGUUUCUACAUUUGUUCAACAAGAAUGUCACCACAUUGAAGGCACAUAAACCUGUUCUUUCAGAUUCUGAGUAGCACUCUCUGUCGGAAAACCUCUAACCUCCCCCCACCCCCAAAAAAAACCUAAACCCCCCACCUCCCAAAAACCUAAAAAAAAACCUAACCCCCCCCCCCCCCCCCCAAACCCCCCACC